rnacentral:SRP_RNA from 10 species
GCCGGGCAUGCUGGCUCAAGCCUGUAAUCCCAGCUACUCGGGAAGCUGAGGCAUGAUAAUCGCUUGAACCCAGGAGGCAGAGGUUGCAGUGAGCCAAGAUCGUGCCACUGCACUCCAGCCUGGAUGACAGAGUGAGACUCUGUCUGCCUUGGUUUUUUUCAGACAGAGUCUCACUCUGUCAUCCAGGCUGGAGUGCAGUGGCACGAUCUUGGCUCACUGCAAACUCUGCCUCCUGGGUUCAAGCGAUUAUCAUGCCU